rnacentral:misc_RNA from 1 species
GGCACUUUCUACUGAUGUGGCGUAGCCUGACAAGUGACGUAAGCAAUGAUUUGGUAGAGUAUACAAUAAAUGAGGUGCAGGCAAGCUCACAAAAAGCUUGGUGAGCUUGUCUUCUUACGCGAUGAGUUCAAAAUUGGAUCUGACCCAACCCGUUGGGUUUUGGUAGCUAUUAGCAUUAGAGUUGAGUUCCGACAAUGGGAAGAGACAGAUCGGUAGACAGAGAGUGUUCAGGAAGGAUUGAUGCUGAAAAACGGGUCAUGUGUCGGGUCGUCUCUUGACCCAGUUGGAUCUUGGCAUCCGGCCAACUUAAAGUGACCGAUAAGGUUUCUCCGUACUUGCCACAGGCCGGCAAGUCAGCUAGCGGUAAGUCUGAGGCUGUUGGAUGGCCAGGCAGUGCCAAUUUGGUGAAAGGAAGGACGACACUGCUGGUGCUCUGUUUCUCGAAGCUCUGUUUGUGGUUUCCUUUUUUUUUAAACAAUAAACAGUAGGCAACAAAGAUAUUGGACAAGAGUAUUGGUUUGAAGGCUUGAAAAUUUACGGAAGCUAAAGAAAUUUGGAUUG